UACGUAGGUGGCAAGCGUUGUCCGGAAUUAUUGGGCGUAAAGCGCGCGCAGGCGGUCCUGUAAGUCUGAUGUGAAAGCCCACGGCUCAACCGUGGAGGGUCAUUGGAAACUGGGGGACUUGAGUGCAGAAGAGGAGAGUGGAAUUCCACGUGUAGCGGUGAAAUGCGUAGAGAUGUGGAGGAACACCAGUGGCGAAAGCGGCUUUCUGGACACCAACUGACGCUGAGACGCGAAAGCGUGGGGAGCGAACCGG
rnacentral:rRNA from 1 species